rnacentral:lncRNA from 1 species
GUUCGGAGAAGAUAUCACUGUCCUUCUGCUAUCUAUCAGCAUAACUAUACAUUGGAGAGAAAUCAGUUGAAUUAAGUAUUCAACCUACACAAAUGUUUGAUGAAGAACAGGUUCCAACCCUACUUGACUCUAAACUAGGCUCAUUAGUCCACCACAUCUUCUGUGUUAUCAAGUGACUUGAACAUUUCCUUAAUUUGUUUGCUUCAUCUUUGUUUCAUAGGAUUAUAUUUUAUUGGUUGUAUCUCCAUAUAUGUAGUAAGAUUUGUUGAUUAUCUCAGUCAUUGGUCCACAUGGUCUGAACUAAUUAUCUGUUGGUUAAUUAAAUGCAGGAACUCGUUUGCAUCCGAAGUCUUGUAUAUGCAAUUCAUAUUUUGGUUCACAUACUCCGAAGCGUUGUAUAUGCAAUUCAUAUUUUGGUUCACAUACUCCGUUUCUUUUUCACUCAGUUACUUGGGCUCUUGCAGUGACAAUGACUGCGAUUCUUCUGUCAGCGUACUUGAUAAACUUUUGAACAACUAGUUGCCAUGGUCAGAUUAGCAAAUGGAUAAAUUUAAUAGGCUUUCAGAAACAUAUAUACCCAGCUCCUUUGCAGACUUGGAUAAAUCUAUGACAAUGUGUGGGUGUUGUCUCAAUUACCUGAGACGGAUUUUGAUAUCUUCUGUUUUGUGUAAAAAUAGGUAACUAUUGCGUACCUCUGCUGAGAUGUCAAAACACGAUCUUGAACAUCUAUUCAUCUUCUCGUCCGGAUGCAUUUUCAUCCGAAAUUUUUAUUGGGAUCAUCAUCUCACAAAACUUUGGAUGUUCUUCUGGCAAAACAUUAUUUGUACCUUGGAUUUGAUCAUCCUUUCAGUCAGUAGAGUAAGUCCUUUGCAACAGCUUCUGGUUUUUGCUGAUUGCGUGCUUGGGUCCAAGUUUUUUUUUUUUUUUUCAUUUCAUUUCCUAAUUGGGGAGGGAGUUCACUCAAUAUUGUAAUUCAAGGAAAAUAAGCUUGUAUGAUUGAUGAAUCUAGGUUUCAUGUCUUGAUAUAUAUAAACUUGGCUGUUCAUCAAAGAGCCCUAACAAAUUGAGAUCUCUUGACCUUGCUAUUAGCUGAAGGCAUUGAUAUAAGUUGGGGUAUUGUGUAUCAUUAUCUGUAUGUAUAUAUAUAUAUAGGGGUCAGGUUACAUAAUUCUCUUAUCAUCUGCUUGGUUCAGUUAUACUGAAAACUGCAUGAACAUUAUCCAAGCUGAUAUCUUCAUGACAUUCAAUUCCCACACACAAGCUCAGAAAAUGUUUGAAACCAAUUAUUCUCAACAAUCUCUUAUAUUGAGAGUUUUAGUAAUUUUACGUCAAAAAUUUUUGUUGGUCGAGAUCAAAUGUUACCCUUGUGGGGAUUAGUAUCAAAUAUUCCGGAGAUGAGCUUCUUUUUGUACUCUGUAUAUGAAAAAUCUUGGAUAUAUGUAUCUUCCUCAACUUGGAAAUUUAAAACUUGACGGCUUGACAAGCUUGACGGCUUCGACCGUCGGGAGAUAGCUCAGGCGUAAGAGUCAGUACAGGCGAUUACAAGGUUAACAAUGGAGGAUAAAAUAUCUAGUGUAUUGAGAGAGAAAAAAAUAUCAGUUACCUUUACUUGGACGACCUCCUUGCUAUGUUAUACUCUCUAGCCCGGUUUACCGUGCCACCCACUACCGUCAGACACUGCUCCCCACUACUCAGUGAUCGCAGCCAACAACAUGCCGACUGUCACCUUUUUCAUACUGUUUCUACCGCCGGCCGACUAUAAUCUCAUCCACAUUAAUGAUCUGCAGGCCACUCGGUCAACAGCCUUCCUUUUUCAUCAUUACAAGUCAAAGAUGGAGAUAUUAAAAUAUCUAGUGGGUUAGCCCACUCAAGUUGGCCCAAGUCUUUCAAGAUAUGUUCAUGAGGAUUAACUAAACUGGCCCAACUGACCAAGCCCAAUAGAGAUGACCCAAGAGAUUUAAUCAAAUGAACAGGCCCAAUCUACUCGGCCCAAUAUGUGAAAUAUCAUGACCUAACAUUGCCCCCUAGUUUUUUAUUCAACAAACUAUUUAAUAGAAAACUAUAAAUUACCCAUGAUAUGAAGAAUUUAAUAAAAUCAAAAGAUGCCCAAAUUAAACUUUAUCAAGGCCCAAACGGUAAGGAAGUAGAAUGAUAGGAUAAAUUGAAACCGGAAACCCAACUGAAAGGCCCAAAAGUUUAAAAAUGAAGGAUUGAACCAAACGAUACCCUUUCAAAUUCAUGAUUAUGACUGUCAAUUAAAUGUGCCGCCCUCGUGUACCGUGUAACCGUCAGUAUAAAAAGUAAACUUCACCAAACUUGACAGUUUUACCUGCCAAUUUGAAAUUUAGACGCUUGAGCUCUCUUAUUCUCUCUCGAACGUUUCUUCCCUUCUCUGCAAAAUUUCAACAAUGGUGGUCCUUAAUACGAAUCAGAUCUCCCCAAUUCGGGCAACCCCUCAUACUGUCGUUCCACCUAACCCAGGUCCCAACGAAGAAGCUUCGAGUUCUAACCCUCAAGCUGCGAAAUCAAGCACGAAUCCACCUCCAAACCUACUCCCUAUGAAUUCUUCAGAAGUAAGGAGCGUUUUUCACACGCCAAUACCCCUUCUGAAAUAACAGAGAUUGGUUUAAAGAAAAUCCGUACUCGAUAUCAAAUCUCUGAUACCAUCAGGUGAGAGCUCCACGGUCUGAAGAGCGAAUGUAUCAACGACCGGAAGGUUGGACGGCCGUUCCAGUGACCCUUCUGGAGAAAGGGGUUCGAUUCCCUUUGCACAUUUUCUUGAUUACCUUUCUAGGGUUUAUCGGCGUUGGAUUUGCCCAGUUGGUGCCGAACUCCUACAUUCAUAUCAUCGCCUUCAUCGCUUUUUGCCACGAAGUAGGAGUAGAGCCCACUCUUGACUUCUUCUUCACUAUUUACAAGAUUGGCCAAACCCGGGAAAAAGGGUUUAAGGCUUUGAGCAAAUUACCAUCGAAGUCAGGUGAGAAGUUCGAAAGACGCUCUCUAAUCAAUACUCCUUCCAGCAAUAGAGGAUGGCAUAAAGGGUGUUCUUCAUCAAAGGACCAGAAAUUGCUUCCUUACCGGGUUGGGUCACUGAAGAUGUAGUUUCUGCUGACUUCGGUGACAUCCCGGAAGAACGCGCAAGUGAAAUGAUAGAGCUGUUUAAAAACUUCCCAUCGAAAGAAUGGAAUUACUUGCUUCUUACUAAGCAAGCCUAGUUAUAUGAGCACAAAUGUAAGUUUUGAAUUAUUUGAUUGCACAAUUGUCUGAAAUUUUUAUUGAUAUAGAUUUUGACAUGUGACUUUCUGUUUUUCGUAGUAUCUUUGAUUAAACCGUCUUCUAUAGACGUGAGAUUAGCAAAUGGAUAAAUUUAAUAGGCUUUCAGAAACAUAUAUACCCAGCUCCUUUGCAGACUUGGAUAAAUCUAUGACAAUGUGUGGGUGUUGACUCAAUUACCUGAGAUGGAUUUUGAUAUCUUCUGUUUUGUGUAAAAAUAGGUAACUAUUGCGUACCUCUGCUGAGAUGUCAAAACACGAUCUUGAACAUCUAUUCAUCUUCUCGUCCGGAUGCAUUUUCAUCCGAAAUUUUUAUUGGGAUCAUCAUCUCACAAAACUUUGGAUGUUCUUCUGGCGAAACAUUAUUUGUACCUUGGAUUUGAUCAUCCUUUCAGUCAGUAGAGUAAGUCCUUUGCAACAGCUUCUGGUUUUUGCUGAUUGCGUGCUUGGGUCCAAGUUUUUUUUUUUUUUUUCAUUUCAUUUCCUAAUUGGGGAGGGAGUUCACUCAAUAUUGUAAUUCAAGGAAAAUAAGCUUGUAUGAUUGAUGAAUCUAGGUUUCAUGUCUUGAUAUAUAUAAACUUGGCUGUUCAUCAAAGAGCCCUAACAAAUUGAGAUCUCUUGACCUUGCUAUUAGCUGAAGGCAUUGAUAUAAGUUGGGGUAUUGUGUAUCAUUAUCUGUAUGUAUAUAUAUAUAUAGGGGUCAGGUUACAUAAUUCUCUUAUCAUCUGCUUGGUUCAGUUAUACUGAAAACUGCAUGAACAUUAUCCAAGCUGAUAUCUUCAUGACAUUCAAUUCCCACACACAAGCUCAGAAAAUGUUUGAAACCAAUUAUUCUC